AAGCGGAGGAAAAGAAACUAACAAGGAUUCCCCUAGUAACGGCGAGUGAAGAGGGAAGAGCUCAAAUUUUAAAUCUGCCUUGUUCCAAGGUCGAGUUGUAAUUUGAAGAAGCGUUUUCUUGGGCUCGCGGCCGGUAGAAGUUCUUUGGAACAGGACAUCAUAGAGGGUGACAAUCCCGUCCGUGACCGGUCGUGCGUUCAUMUACGAUACGCUUUCAAAGAGUCGAGUUGUUUGGGAUUGCAGCUCCAAACGGGUGGUAAACAUCACCUAAGGCUAAAUAUUGGCGAGAGACCGAUAGCGAACAAGUACCGUGAGGGAAAGAUGAAAAGAACUUUGAAAAGAGAGUUAAACAGUACGUGAAAUUGUUGAAAGGGAAACGAUUGAAGUCAGUCGUGCUGGCGCGAAAUCAACCCUCUCGUCUUGAGAUCACAUGGCGCGACGAGCCUCAAAACCGUCACGAAGCGUGAACUCUUGACGAAAAGGUGCACUUUCGUGUCCGCUGGUUAACAUCAAUUUCGAACGUCAUAAAAAGGCUGGAGGGAUGUGGCUCCUUCGGGAGUGUUAUAACCUUUAGCGGAAUGUGGCGUUCGGGAUUGAGGAUUGCAACGAAUACCUUCAGGGCUGUUCCACCUGGCUUCUCAUUGGUAUCCUGGUGACGACAGCUUGCUGACGUCGUUAGGAUCAGCUUCUGAACAGGCUAGAGUGUGAGCAAAUUCGUUAAGGAUGUUAACGUAAUGGCUUUAAACGACCCGUCUUGA
rnacentral:rRNA from 1 species